rnacentral:rRNA from 1 species
AUGGCCCACAUAUCAAAUAUUAAACUAAUAAAAACAGAUACUGCACUUGAUCUUAGCCAAAAGGCCGAGAAAGGUAUGAGUUGCAAUGCUGAAGCGGGUCUCCUUUUAUAGCCAUCUGUCCUCUGUGCUCCUCCUCCGUGCGCGAUGUGGUACUAA